GACGUAGGGCGCGAGCGUUGUCCGGAUUUAUUGGGCGUAAAGAGCUCGUAGGCGGCUUGUCGCGUCGGCUGUGAAAACCUGGGGCUCAACCCCGGGCCUGCAGCCGAUACGGGCAAGCUAGAAUUCGGUAGGGGAGACUGGAAUUCUCGGUGUAGCAGUGAAAUGCGUAGAUAUCGAGAGGAACACCAGUGGCGAAGGCGAGUCCCUGGACAACACCUGACACUGAGGCACGAAAGCUAGGGGAGCAAACAGG
rnacentral:rRNA from 1 species